CGCGAACCAUCGAGUCUUUGAACGCAAGUUGCGCCCGAGCCACCCGGUCGAGGGCACGCUGCUGGGCGUCACGCCAAACACGCUCCCACGCCACCCUUGUGGGGGGCAGGACGCGGCUUAUGGCUCCCCGUGCCUCUGGGCGCGGUGGCCGAAGAUCGGGCUGCCGGCGUAUCGUGCCGGCACAGCGCGUGGUGGCGAUCUCGCUUACUCAGCGCAGCGCUGCAGUGCGUAGCCGCGUAAAGGCCUCCAAGGACCCCAAAAACGGAGUGCGCGUCGCUCCGACCGCGACCCCAGUCAGCGGGACUACCCGCUGAGUUUAAGCAUAUAAUAAGCGGAGGAGAAGAAACUACAAGGAUCCCCUAGUAACGGCGAGCGAACCGGAGCAGCCCAGCUUGAGAUCGGGCGGCCGUGCCGUCCGAAUGUAGUCUGGAGAGGCGUCUCAGCGACGGACCGGGCCCAAGUCCCCUGGAAGGGGCGCCUGGGAGGGUGAGAGCCCGUCCGGCCCGGACCCUGUCGCCCACGAGGCGCCGUCAACGAGUCGGGUUGUUUGGGAAUGCAGCCCAAAUCGGCGGUAGACUCCGUCCAAGGCUAAUACAGGCGAGAGACCGAUAGCGAACAAGUACCGCGAGGGAAGAUGAAAAGGACUUUGAAAAGAGAGUCAAAGAGUGCUGAAAUGCCGGGAGGGAAGCGGAUGGGGGCCGGCGAUGCGUCCUGGCCGUAUGCGGAACGGCUUUGCUGGUCCGCCGCUCGGCUCGGGGCGUGGACUGUGUCGGCCGUGCUGGCGGCCCAAGCCCGGGGUCUUAGGUGCCCCCGGUGGCCGUCGUUGGCACGGCCGGUACCCGCGCGCCGCAAGGCGUGUCCUCGGGGCACUGCGCUGCAACGGCCUGCGGGCUCCCCAUCCGACCCGUCUGAAACACGGACCAAGGAGUCUGACAUGCGUGCGAGUCGACGGGUUCUGAAACUGGGAUGCGCAAGGAAGCUGACGAGCGGAGGCCCUCACGGGCCGCACCGCUGCCGACCCUGAUCUUCUGUGAAGGGUUCGAGUUGGAGCACGCCUGUCGGACCCGAAAGAUGGUGAACUAUGCUGAGCGGGGCGAAGCCAGAGGAACUCUGGUGGAGGCUCGAAGCGAUACUGACGUGCAAUCGUUCGUCUGACUUGGUAUAGGGGCGAAAGACUAAUCGACCAUCUAGUAGCUGGUUCCCUCCGAAGUUCCCUCAGGAUAGCUGGAGCCCAUACGAGUCUAUCAGGUAAGCCAAUGAUUAGAGGCAUCGGGGGCGCACGCCCUCGACCUAUUCUCAAACUUUAAUAGGUAGGACGGCGCGGCUGCUCCGGUGAGCCGCGCCAUGGAAUCGGGAGCUCCAAGUGGGCCAUUUUUGGUAAGCAGAACGGCGAUGCGGGAUGAACCGGAAGCCGGGUUACGGUGCCCAACUGCGCGCUAACCUAGAACCCACAAAGGGUGUUGGUCGAUUAAGACAGCAGGACGGUGGUCAUGGAAGUCGAAAUCCGCUAAGGAGUGUGUACAACUCACUGCCGAAUCAACUAGCCCCGAAAAUGGAUGGCGCUAAAGCGCGCGACCCACACCGGCCAUCUGGGCGAGCGCCAUGCCCCGAUGAGUAGGAGGGCGCGGCGGCCGCUGCAAACCCGGGGCGCGAGCCCGGGCGGAGCGGCCGUCGUGCAGAUCUUGGUGGUAGUAGCAAUAUUCAAAUGAGAACUUGAAGGCCGAAGAGAGAAAGGUUCAUGUGAACGGCACUUGCACAUGGGUAAGCCGAUCUAAGGGACGGGGUAACCCCGGCAGAUAGCGCGAUCACGCGUAUCCCCGAAAGGGAAUCGGGUUAAGAUUUCCCGAGCCGGGAUGUGCGUUGACGCGACGUUAGGAAGUCCGGAGACGCGGCGGGGCCUCGGGAAGAGUUAUCUUUCUGCUUAACGGCUGCCAACCCUGGAAUCGGUUCAGCGGAGGUAGGGUCCAGUGGCCGGAAGAGCACCGCACGUCGCGCGUGUCCGGUGCGCCCCGGCGGCCCAUGAAAAUCCGGAGACCGAGUACCGUUCACGCCCGGUCGUACUCAUAACCGCAUCAGUCUCCAGGUGAACAGCCUCUGGCCAAUGGAACAAUGUAGGCAAGGAAGUCGGCAAAACGGAUCCGUACUUCGGGAAAAGGAUGGCUCUGAGGACUGGGCUCGGGGGUCCGGCCCCAAACCCGUCGGCUGUCGGCGGAUUGCUCGAGCUGCUCACGCGCGAGAGCGGGUCGCGCGUGCCGGCCGGGGACGGACCGGGAGUCGCCCUUCGGGGGCUUUCCCCGAGCGCUGAACAGUCGACUCAGAACUGGUACGGACAAGGGAAUCCGACUGUUUAAUUAAACAAGCAUUGCGAUGGUCCUCGCGGAUGCUGACGCAAUGUGAUUUCUGCCAGUGCUCUGAAUGUCAAAGUGAAGAAAUCAACCAAGCGCGGGUAACGGCGGGAGUACUAUGACUCUCUUAAGGUAGCCAAAUGCUCGUCAUCUAAUUAGUGACGCGCAUGAUGGAUUAACGAGAUUCCCACUGUCCCUGUCUACUAUCCAGCGAAACCACAGCCAAGGAACGGGCUUGGCGGAAUCAGCGGGAAAGAAGACCUGUUGAGCUUGACUCUAGUCCGACUUUGUGAAUGACUUGAGAGGUGUAGGAUAAGUGGGAGCCUUUACGGGCGCAAGUGAAUACACUACUUUAACGUUAUUUACUUAUUCCGUGGGUCGGAGCGGGGCAAGUCCCUCCUUUGGCUCCAGGCCCGGUCUGACCGGGCCGAUCCGGGCGGAGACAUUGUCAGUGGGGAGUUUGGCUGGGGCGGCACAUCUGUUAAAGAUAACGCAGGUGUCCUAAGAUGAGCUCAACGAGACAGAAUCUCGUGUGGAACAAAAGGUAAAAGCUCGUUUGAUUCUGAUUUCCAGUACGAUACGAACCGUGAAAGCGUGGCCUAUCGAUCCUUUAGAUCUUCGGAGUUGAAGCUAGAGGUGUCAGAAAAGUACCACAGGGAUAACUGGCUGUGGCAGCCAAGCGUCAUAGCGACGUUGCUUUUUGAUCCUUCGAUGUCGGCUCUUCCUAUCAUGUGAAGCAGAAUUCACCAAGUGUUGGAUUGUCACCCACCAAUAGGGAACGUGAGCUGGGUUAGACCGUCGUGAGACAGUUAGUUUUACCCUACUGAUGACCGUGCCGCGAUAGUAAUUCAACUAGUACGAGAGGAACCGUUGAUCACACAAUUGGUCAUCGCGCUUGGUGAAAAGCCAGUGGCGCGAAGCUACCGUGUGCCGGAUUAUGACUGAACGCCUCUAGUCAGAAUCCAAGCUAGCAAGCGGCGCUGCGCCCGCCGCCUGCCCCGACCCACGUUAGGGCGCUUGCGCCCCCAAGGCACGUGCCAUUGGCUAAGCCGUUCCGGCCGACGAGCCGCGUCCGGCCGCCUCGAAGCUCCUUCCCCACGGGCGGCGGGCUGAAUCCUUUGCAGACGACUUAAUACGCGACGGGGCAUUGUAAGUGGCAGAGUGCCUUGCUGCCACGAUCCACUGAGAUCCAGCCCACGUCGCACGGAUUCGUCCCUCCCCUCCCCCACCAAGGGUCGUGUCGUGCAUUAGUUCUGCCGUGCCGUCAUGACAUGGACGGCUUUGUUCCGCCAUGAGGAAAGCGACCAAGCGUCGCCAUUGAGGAGGACGAGCAGGUCCGCCACGAAGAAAACGCCCGAGCGCCGCCACAGGCAUAGUUGGUGGCGCGCACACUCGUGGCGAAAUCGCCUUGCGCGCCCUAAGUUGGCGGUAUCGUCGCAUGGCCGCCGCCCGGACCCAGCACUAGGCCUAAAUGCCAUGGUCCAGGGGGGCCGUGCCAAGGAAGUUGUCGGACGGCCGGAUGAGUGGCAUCGAGAGAAGCGUCCGCUCGGGCGCGGAAGGCCGAUCAUCGUGUUGGACGUGCGUGCACGGAAGCGGUACGGGUACCGACCUGAUUCCGGCCGUGGCAAACGUUCUCCUCGCCGCGGCAGAGAAAAUGAUCGUUUUUGACCCACGGGCAGAGGCGACCUGCCCCUUCCUAGCGUUGUGGCAGGGAACCCGCGGGGGCUGUCCGCCCCGGGUAUAGUAGGGGGAGGCAGCCCCCGACACGUGCUUGUCACGGCAUAGAAAAUGGUCGUUUUUGACCCGUGACUGAGGUGACUGCCCCAACGAGGCGUGCGGCAGGGAACCCGCGGGGGGAUGUCGGCCCCGGGUAUAGUAGGGUUGGAAGAAACGGAGGAACCAAAAAAACCCACACGCGCGCCCGCCCCGCCCGCGCGUGACUUGUGACUUUGGGCUUUGGGCCUUUGGGCCUUUGGGCAUAUUUCGAAGCAAACCACGGUGGUUGAGCGGCGGGCAUGCCGGUCCGGUUGCCCGCCCGUUUCUCCCCGCGGCAUUGUUUGGGUGCUUGCUUGAAGGAAACCACGGGCACCCCACCGGGUACAGUAGUCCGGUCGGGCUGGCAAACUCGGCAGAUUCCUGCCGCGGCAGGAAUUGUCGUUGUCGCGGCAGAGGAGAGUGCCGUCUUUGACCCGCGGCAGCGGUCGGAAAGCGCUUCCGACCGUGCGGCGGGAAACCCGCGGGGGAUGUCGGCCCCGGGUAUAGUAGGGGGAGGCAGUCCCACGACGGGUCGGCUGCCGCGGCAGGAGGUUGCCCGUUUCUCGGUCCCGCGGCAUUGUUCGGGUGCUUAUUUUGAAGGAAACCUCGGGUGUUAACCCCCACCGGGUACAGUUAGUCCGGUCGGGCUGGCAAACUCGGCAGAUUCCUGCCGCGGAUUCUGCCGCGGCAGGAAUGUCGUGUCGCGGCAGAGGAAAGUGUCGUUUUUGACCCGCGGCAGCGGUCGGGAAGCGCUUCCUAGCGCUGUGGCAGGGAACCCGCGGGGGAUGUCGGCCCCGGGUAUAGUAGGGGAGGCAGUCCCCCGACGGGUCGGCUGCCGCGGCAGGAACGCGGCAGGAGUGUGGCUUUUUCUCGGCCCGUGGCAUUGUUCGGAAGCUAAUUCUGACGGAAACCACGUUGGCUGGACUCACCGAGGCAGGCCGGAUCGGCGGGCGCGGCAGAAAUCUGCCUCGUCCGCAGGGUUGCCGUUUUUCGUGCCCGUAACAUCGUCCGGAGGCUUAUUUGAAGGAAACCACGGGUGUUUCGACCCCCAGGUAUAAAGCAGCGGUCCUGCCGUGGCAGGAAAACGGCCCGUCCUCUUGCGCCCGUGUCAUCGUAACUCCCGCGCGCUGUGGACCUUCGGUCGCCGUAUUGAGUAGACCCGCCGUGCUCUGCGCGGUGUGAUGCUGUACGGUCUGAACGUCGUGGCUACGCUAGCGCAUGAGUUGUCUUGGACCAGUGUCUGCCGGCAGAUCCCCGCCGUUGUGCGGCCGACUACCGGCGCCUGUGUCCUAUCAACGUUGCAUUGGACGGCUCUUACUUUGCCGCCUUACCGGAAAGUUCUUGCAUGAUGGUCCCCGACCAACGGGAAUUGGUGCGUCGUAGAGAGUAGCCUCGCGGUGGAUGCCUGUUGGCGUUCCACUGCGGCCAUAUUGCGUUGGCGGCGUUGCCUCGUGGUGCCAUCACGCUACGUGUUUGGCCCUACCAAGGACACCUCGCUCCCGCUCUUGGUCUCGGAUGUCGCUCAUUGUAGA
rnacentral:lncRNA from 1 species